CAGGCCUAACACAUGCGAGUCGAGCGGGAUUAAUUGAUAGCUUGCUAUUGAUUAUGAGAGCGGCGCACGGGUGCGUAACGCGUAUGCAACCUACCCUUUGCUGGGGGAUAGCCCGGAGAAAUUCGGAUUAAUACCCCAUAGUAUCACUGACUCGCAUGUUUUAGUGAUUAAAGGUUACGGCAAAGGAUGGGCAUGCGUCCUAUUAGCUAGAUGGUGAGGUAACGGCUCACCAUGGCGACGAUAGGUAGGGGGCCUGAGAGGGUGGUCCCCCACACUGGUACUGAGACACGGACCAGACUCCUACGGGAGGCAGCAGUGAGGAAUAUUGGACAAUGGGCGCAAGCCUGAUCCAGCCAUGCCGCGUGUGUGAAGAAGACCUUAUGGUUGUAAAGCACU
rnacentral:rRNA from 1 species